UCAUGCCCUUUGUAGAAUUCAUCUCGAUUUGGAAAAUAUAGAAAAGCAGAGAGGUCAAUUGAUUUCACCAAAACCAUGUUGAAUUACGAGACUCAUUGCUAGUUCUCGGUGAAUUUGAUUGUACUGAGAAAUGAUGAAUAAGUUUGUGAAAGCUAUACCUCAUAUACUUCAUUCAGGUUCUAUCUAUUUCAAAUUUUUUUAAAAUUUUCAUUGUUUACAAUGAUUCACAUGUGUUAAUUGCAAACUAUGUCCAUGUUUGGGUGCCUAUUUAUGUGUGC
rnacentral:lncRNA from 1 species